GACGAACCGUGCGAACGUUAUUCGGAAUCAUUGGGCGUAAAGAGCGUGUAGGCGGCUCGAUAAGUCCGCUCUGAAAGCCCGGGGCUCAACCCCGGGAGGCGGGCGGAUACUGUCGAGCUAGAGUCCGGAAGAGGCGAGUGGAAUUCCUGGUGUAGCGGUGAAAUGCGCAGAUAUCAGGAGGAACACCAAUGGCGAAGGCAGCUCGCUGGGACGGUACUGACGCUGAGACGCGAAAGCGUGGGGAGCAAACAGG
rnacentral:rRNA from 1 species